rnacentral:tRNA from 3 species
GGUCCGGUAGCUCAGUUGGAUAGAGCAUCAGCCUUCUAAGCUGAGGGUCAUUGGUUCGAAUCCAAUCCGGAUCACCA